UACGUAGGGUGCAAGCGUUGUCCGGAAUUAUUGGGCGUAAAGAGCUCGUAGGCGGUCUGUCGCGUCUGCUGUGAAAACUCAGGGCUUAACCCUGGGCGUGCAGUGGAUACGGGCAGGCUGGAGGCAGGCAGGGGAGAACGGAAUUCCCGGUGUAGCGGUGAAAUGCGCAGAUAUCGGGAGGAACACCGGUGGCGAAGGCGGUUCUCUGGGCCUGUACUGACGCUGAGGAGCGAAAGCGUGGGGAGCGAACAGG
rnacentral:rRNA from 1 species